GCCUCCAUAGCUCAAUGGAUAGGGCACUGGUCUAGUAAACCAGGGGUCGGGGGCUCGAUCCUCCCUGGAGGUA